rnacentral:lncRNA from 10 species
CACAAAUUCCUGAUGAAUAUUAUGAAUUGAAUGAGUGAAUGUUUGAAUAUAGGGUAAUUUUAUGUUAUCCACUGGAUUUCAUGUUACUAUGAUGUUGAGUAAUUACAAGAGAAAUACGACUAGAACUCUGAAGUUUUUUUUUUAAUCUACUAGUUAUACAUAAGACUUCUCCUGAUAGUCCUGUGUUUGUUGUUUAUUAGGUGUCCAAUGAGGAACUUGGGUUUUAUGAACACUAAGUCCCUACCAAUCCCAACAGUAUGUCUGAAUCUCUGAGUUCCCAUAAGAAGAAAGAUUCUUCUCAAAAUAAAUCACUAAUAAGGGAAAUUUGGUGACUGAUUGAAGCUAAGGAAGAUAACCUCAUUUCUACUUCUGUAAGGAGGAAAAUACCCUCUCUGCCAAAGAUCCAGAGCUCAGUACCUGCACAGAUGUUCUUAUGGCCCAAGGAAAUCCUUCUCCACAUCUCUUGCCCUAUUACCUUGAAAGAAAAAGUGGCUGCCCCAAAUCCCCAAACGCCAUGAACAUUGAAGGAUGGUGCCCCUGUCCAUGUUGCAUUUGGAUGCCUCUUUGGAGUAUCAGGAGGAUUUGAGCAGUGGAAGCUCUUAAGAAAGAAAAUACAAAUUAUUUUAAGAAGAAAACAACCCCAUCAAAAAGUGGGUGAAGGAUAUG